GGGUUGUGAGGUUAAGCGACUAAGCGUACACGGUGGAUGCCCUGGCAGUCAGAGGCGAUGAAGGACGUGCUAAUCUGCGAUAAGCGUCGGUAAGGUGAUAUGAACCGUUAUAACCGGCGAUUUCCGAAUGGGGAAACCCAGUGUGAUUCGUCACACUAUCAUUAACUGAAUCCAUAGGUUAAUGAGGCGAACCGGGGGAACUGAAACAUCUAAGUACCCCGAGGAAAAGAAAUCAACCGAGAUUCCCCCAGUAGCGGCGAGCGAACGGGGAGCAGCCCAGAGCCUGAAUCAGUGUGUGUGUUAGUGGAAGCGUCUGGAAAGGCGCGCGAUACAGGGUGACAGCCCCGUACACAAAAAUGCACAUGCUGUGAGCUCGAUGAGUAGGGCGGGACACGUGGUAUCCUGUCUGAAUAUGGGGGGACCAUCCUCCAAGGCUAAAUACUCCUGACUGACCGAUAGUGAACCAGUACCGUGAGGGAAAGGCGAAAAGAACCCCGGCGAGGGGAGUGAAAAAGAACCUGAAACCGUGUACGUACAAGCAGUGGGAGCACAGAGCAAUCUGUGUGACUGCGUACCUUUUGUAUAAUGGGUCAGCGACUUAUAUUCUGUAGCAAGGUUAACCGAAUAGGGGAGCCGAAGGGAAACCGAGUCUUAACUGGGCGUUAAGUUGCAGGGUAUAGACCCGAAACCCGGUGAUCUAGCCAUGGGCAGGUUGAAGGUUGGGUAACACUAACUGGAGGACCGAACCGACUAAUGUUGAAAAAUUAGCGGAUGACUUGUGGCUGGGGGUGAAAGGCCAAUCAAACCGGGAGAUAGCUGGUUCUCCCCGAAAGCUAUUUAGGUAGCGCCUCGUGAAUUCAUCUCCGGGGGUAGAGCACUGUUUCGGCAAGGGGGUCAUCCCGACUUACCAACCCGAUGCAAACUGCGAAUACCGGAGAAUGUUAUCACGGGAGACACACGGCGGGUGCUAACGUCCGUCGUGAAGAGGGAAACAACCCAGACCGCCAGCUAAGGUCCCAAAGUCAUGGUUAAGUGGGAAACGAUGUGGGAAGGCCCAGACAGCCAGGAUGUUGGCUUAGAAGCAGCCAUCAUUUAAAGAAAGCGUAAUAGCUCACUGGUCGAGUCGGCCUGCGCGGAAGAUGUAACGGGGCUAAACCAUGCACCGAAGCUGCGGCAGCGACGCUUAUGCGUUGUUGGGUAGGGGAGCGUUCUGUAAGCCUGUGAAGGUGUACUGUGAGGUAUGCUGGAGGUAUCAGAAGUGCGAAUGCUGACAUAAGUAACGAUAAAGCGGGUGAAAAGCCCGCUCGCCGGAAGACCAAGGGUUCCUGUCCAACGUUAAUCGGGGCAGGGUGAGUCGACCCCUAAGGCGAGGCCGAAAGGCGUAGUCGAUGGGAAACAGGUUAAUAUUCCUGUACUUGGUGUUACUGCGAAGGGGGGACGGAGAAGGCUAUGUUGGCCGGGCGACGGUUGUCCCGGUUUAAGCGUGUAGGCUGGUUUUCCAGGCAAAUCCGGAAAAUCAAGGCUGAGGCGUGAUGACGAGGCACUACGGUGCUGAAGCAACAAAUGCCCUGCUUCCAGGAAAAGCCUCUAAGCAUCAGGUAACAUCAAAUCGUACCCCAAACCGACACAGGUGGUCAGGUAGAGAAUACCAAGGCGCUUGAGAGAACUCGGGUGAAGGAACUAGGCAAAAUGGUGCCGUAACUUCGGGAGAAGGCACGCUGAUAUGUAGGUGAAGCGACUUGCUCGUGGAGCUGAAAUCAGUCGAAGAUACCAGCUGGCUGCAACUGUUUAUUAAAAACACAGCACUGUGCAAACACGAAAGUGGACGUAUACGGUGUGACGCCUGCCCGGUGCCGGAAGGUUAAUUGAUGGGGUCAGCGCAAGCGAAGCUCUUGAUCGAAGCCCCGGUAAACGGCGGCCGUAACUAUAACGGUCCUAAGGUAGCGAAAUUCCUUGUCGGGUAAGUUCCGACCUGCACGAAUGGCGUAAUGAUGGCCAGGCUGUCUCCACCCGAGACUCAGUGAAAUUGAACUCGCUGUGAAGAUGCAGUGUACCCGCGGCAAGACGGAAAGACCCCGUGAACCUUUACUAUAGCUUGACACUGAACAUUGAGCCUUGAUGUGUAGGAUAGGUGGGAGGCUUUGAAGUGUGGACGCCAGUCUGCAUGGAGCCGACCUUGAAAUACCACCCUUUAAUGUUUGAUGUUCUAACGUUGACCCGUAAUCCGGGUUGCGGACAGUGUCUGGUGGGUAGUUUGACUGGGGCGGUCUCCUCCUAAAGAGUAACGGAGGAGCACGAAGGUUGGCUAAUCCUGGUCGGACAUCAGGAGGUUAGUGCAAUGGCAUAAGCCAGCUUGACUGCGAGCGUGACGGCGCGAGCAGGUGCGAAAGCAGGUCAUAGUGAUCCGGUGGUUCUGAAUGGAAGGGCCAUCGCUCAACGGAUAAAAGGUACUCCGGGGAUAACAGGCUGAUACCGCCCAAGAGUUCAUAUCGACGGCGGUGUUUGGCACCUCGAUGUCGGCUCAUCACAUCCUGGGGCUGAAGUAGGUCCCAAGGGUAUGGCUGUUCGCCAUUUAAAGUGGUACGCGAGCUGGGUUUAGAACGUCGUGAGACAGUUCGGUCCCUAUCUGCCGUGGGCGCUGGAGAACUGAGGGGGGCUGCUCCUAGUACGAGAGGACCGGAGUGGACGCAUCACUGGUGUUCGGGUUGUCAUGCCAAUGGCACUGCCCGGUAGCUAAAUGCGGAAGAGAUAAGUGCUGAAAGCAUCUAAGCACGAAACUUGCCCCGAGAUGAGUUCUCCCUGACUCCUUGAGAGUCCUGAAGGAACGUUGAAGACGACGACGUUGAUAGGCCGGGUGUGUAAGCGCAGCGAUGCGUUGAGCUAACCGGUACUAAUGAACCGUGAGGCUUAACCUUACAACGCCGAAG
rnacentral:rRNA from 1 species